ensembl:antisense
AAACAUGGAGAGUGGACCUGGGAAACACUGGACCGAGGAGGAGGUCAAGGUUUUACUAAGUGUCUGGGCAGAAAGAAAUAUACGAAAACAACUUUACCGAACGCUGAGAAAUAAAGAAGUCUUUAUUUACGUUGCUAAAAGGCUGCGAUCACUAGGAGUAUACAGAGACUGGAAGCAGUGCCGGGCAAAGUAUAAAAAUCUCAAGUACGAAUACAGGACAGUUAAGCAUGCCCACAGGUCAGGAGACAGCGCGAGGACGAUGAAGUUCUUCCAUGCCCUGGACGCAAUCCUGCAGUCUGAACCGACCGCACAGUUAACAGAGGAGAAGGAUGGUUGCAGCAAGUGCCUGGCAACCCUGAGCCCAGUUACCGCCCCAGAGAUCGCCGAAGGUAAAAAGAAAAACGCCAUUCUUUUGUCUGUCACUGUGUUUACAAUUUCUGAAUACAUCCGAUAAAUGUAGCCUGAACUAUCAAGAUU